UUUAAAAACCAAUUUCAUGAAAAAAUAAUAUGAUUCCUUUUAUUUCAGAUAACGAUCCCUAUGCUGAAUACAACAUUCCUACAAUUUUUGGUUUUUCAAAACAAUCACGACCAACAUUAAUAAUAGAAAAUCACACAUUUGUUUUUGGAUCAAAAAAACCCACUGGAAACUAUUGGAGAUGUUCCAAAUAUCAAAAGAAUCUAUGUAGAGCAACAGCGCGUACAAAAAUGAUUGGAAAUGAGUUAAAAGCUCGUUUGAAAAAUACACAUUGUCAUCGUUAAAAUAGCCAAUGAUGAAUACAACAUUUGUGCAACUUUUGGUUAUUCGCGACAAAAUCGACCAACAUUAAUAAUAGGCGAAUAUGUUUUUAAUUGUGUAUCGAGAAAAAAGAAAAUUGGCAAUUUCUGGCGAUGUUCAAAAUAUUUUAAAUUACGAUGCAAAGCAACAGCGCAUACAAAAUUGAUUGGCAAAGAAGUUAAAUGUCGCAUAAAAAAUAAACAUUCGCAUCCUUAAAACUAAAAGUAAAUCUAUCAUAAAAAAAAGUAAAACAAAAAAAAAAAUAGCAGAAUUUCUUCAUUAUAACUGCUGAGGAUUCUCGAUACGCUCCACUUUGCUCAGUCUUAGAAAUUCAAUAUUACGCCAUCAAGCCAAAGCCAAAAGAGCUGGAAAAAUGCAAGCAAAUCAUGAAAAGUUAUUCUACAAAAUGGGUUGAUAUAUAAACAUGAAUUUUUUAAAGAUAUCAAACCGAAUUUAACAAUAAUUGAUGUCCAAAGUAGAAAACCUGAAAUACUAACAGAAGCUCAGGAAGUGAAAGCUGCUAUUGAUUCUGCUGAAUACACCAUACCAGCAACAUUUGGAUUUUCAAAAAGAAAUCGCCCAACUUUAGUAAUAGGAGAACACAUCUAUGUAAAUGGAUCGAGAAAAGAUAUAACUGCACAUUUUUGGAGAUGUUCAAAAUAUCAAACUUUUCGUUGCAAAGCUACAGCACGUACAAAAAUGAUUGGCAACGAAGUGAGAUGUCGUUUAAAAAAUGAACAUUCUCAUAAUUGAAAUUAUUUUUAA